rnacentral:rRNA from 1 species
UGCCUUCGGGAACUCUGAGACAGGUGCUGCAUGGCUGUCGUCAGCUCGUGUUGUGAAAUGUUGGGUUAAGUCCCGCAACGAGCGCAACCCUUAUCCUUUGUUGCCAGCGAUUCGGCCGGGAACUCAAAGGAGACUGCCAGUGAUAAACUGGAGGAAGGUGGGGAUGACGUCAAGUCAUCAUGGCCCUUACGAGUAGGGCUACACACGUGCUACAAUGGCAUAUACAAAGAGAAGCGACCUCGCGAGAGCAAGCGGACCUCAUAAAGUAUGUCGUAGUCCGGAUUGGAGUCUGCAACUCGACUCCAUGAAGUCGGAAUCGCUAGUAAUCGUGGAUCAGAAUGCCACGGUGAAUACGUUCCCGGGCCUUGUACACACCGCCCGUCACACCAUGGGAGUGGGUUGCAAAAGAAGUAGGUAGCUUAACC